rnacentral:rRNA from 1 species
GACGAACGCUGGCGGCGUGCUUAACACAUGCAAGUCGAGCGGUAAGGCCCUUUCGGGGGUACACGAGCGGCGAACGGGUGAGUAACACGUGGGUGACCUGCCUCUAGCUCUGGGAUAAAGCCCGGGAAACUGGGUCUAAUACUGGAUAUGACUCCAUGACGCAUGUUGGUGGGGUGGAAAGCCUUGUGCGGCUAGAGAUGGGCCCGCGGCCUAUCAGCUUGUUGGGGGUGAUGGCCUACAAGGCGACGACGGGUAGCCGGCCUGAGAGGGCGACCGGCCACACUGGGACUGAGACACGG